UGCAUUUUCCUCAGCCUCCUUUCACCUCUACGAGACCUAGAGGAAAAAGUUAUCAAAACUUCUCAUUUUCUUAAAGUCUCUCUCUUUCUUCUCCAAAUCAUUACUAAAUGAGCAAGGACAACUUCAACGCCACCGGUUGAUCUUACUGCAGUUCUGAAAGAUGAGGAUUGAGCUGGCCUUUUGAACGCAAACCACAUGACUACAUGAGCAAAUUUUUAUGCGGUUGGCUGGUAAAAAGUCUUGCCGGAAAGUGGGAUUGAGCAGCCACAACCACUAUCUCGUCGAAAACCCUAUUUUUUAAUGGAUUUAGACUUGUUAUUUGUGUGUACUUCUUAUUUUAGUUGUAAAAUUUGUUAAAUUGAUUUGUAAAUUGUUUAUUGGACUUGUAACUUAUUUCGGUUAACCGAAUAAACCGAGGAAAAAAUCAAUUCGGGUUAAAUUCGGGAAA